CUUUCGGAUUUGUAUCCUACCCAGGAUCGUUUCUCCAGCUCUGCCCAGUGUCUAACCUCCACGGAUAGGCUACAUCGCGUGAUCAUGAGUAUUCACUGGAGGGAGGUCUGUCACACUCCCUGUGUCCUUCGUUUGAAUUGGAAUCCACCCGUUUUCUCCUGCGCUUGCGCUUCUCUCACAGGCUGAAGGACGUGCUGUGUAAGAAUCUGAAGAAACACACACCCACAUCUGAUGGCGGGGAAAGGAAGUCCACAGAGAACUGUUUCAGGUUGUCAUCCAAACUCCUCUUCCUCCCAGCUCUGCAUUGACAUCGACCUUGCCCUUGUAUCUAAAACAAACCCAAGCAGGACCCAGAAACCUUUUCCCCUUCUAAAUUAGUGUCUUCGUGAAUUGCGUUUUACAACUUAUCAAAAUGGUGCUUCGACACUGCUGGUAAACAGGUUGGCAACAAAGAGAAACACCCUCUCAACUGCACCAGGUCGCCGGCAGGUGAGAGGAGCCAGCCGCUAUGCCGGUACCUGAGCAGGAAGAUCUAGCUCCCUGGAGGCUCUCCCUUGGUAGAAGGGAGAGUCCUAGUGAGUGCCACCUGAACUCAGGUUCUGAAACACUCUUUUGUGCUCUCUGACCCAAAU